AUCCCCCCGCGCCGGCCGACGCGCCGGCCACCACGUCUCGAGUGCAGGCCCAGUUCACUGUAGAUGCGCUUCCGGCGGAGCCGAGGCCGGAAGCGGAAGAAGGGGACGCAGACCUGCAUCCAAGCUGUGCCACCUGAGACGUGGGCGGUCCCAGUGACCGGGAGCCGGAGCUCGAACGGGACGGGCGAACAGGAGCGCGGAGGGCUUCGCAGCGUCGGCGUCUGUGCGUGGGCCAAACAUCAGGGCUUCGACCAGGGAUACAAGGGCAACCACUAACUAGAUUCUCGAUUCCUGAUGGCUGGCGGCGGCUGACACCGAAGUGCCCGUGGGAGAGCAAGAUCGCGAGGCACGAGCUGUGAGGGCACACCGCCUCUCUUGGUCCUCCGAAGCAAAGACACUGAUGCUCCCAGAAGCUGCGGAAGGACCUGAGCAAGAGGAGCAGGCAGCACUGAAGCCCCCACUCCAUGUCGUCUCCUACCUGCUCCCUGGGCCAACCUGGCACCCAGUGCUCAUCCUCACCUGCCGUCUGACCUCCUCCAGUGUGUGGUGUGCGGGCUGCCCCAAACCCUCCAGUGUACAUGGUACAUACCUACCCACCUGCUGAAACCCAGGAUGCCUGUGAAACAAGAGCUGCUCCUGAUACUUAAGAUGACCUCUACUCUGCCAUCUGAUGGGAGUGGGAGAGGAGACACUGAAGAAUUCAUCGAAUAAAAUCCACAAAGCUUAAAAGAUCAAUACACAGGCCAGGCGCGGUGGCUGACGCCUGUAAUCCCAGCACUUUGGGAGGCUGACGAAGGCGGAUCAGAAGGUCAGGAGUUUGAGACCAGCCUGGCCAACAUAGUGAAACCCCAUCUCUAUUAAAAAUACAAAAAUUAGUUGGGUGUGCUGGCAUGCGCCUGUAGUUCCAGCUACU